rnacentral:lncRNA from 1 species
UUUUCUUUUUCGAUCUUUUAUUUUUUUUUCCAUUGAUUAAAAAUGAGGUAUAGAUCCUUUAUUAAUAAUAAUGAGUCUAUCCUUACAUAAAUUGAGUCGGAUUCCUCUUUUAGUUCUAAAGGGACUCUUUUAUUUAAAAUAGAUGUGUAUAUUAGAAAUAAUCUAGAAAAGCUAAAACUCUUUAGGAGUUAGAUCUCGACUUCUAUAUCAAAUCUAUCUUUUGUCACUUCACCAAAUUCUUAU